GAUGAACGCUGGCGGCGUGCCUAAUACAUGCAAGUCGAGCGAACAGACGAGGCUCUUGCUCCUCUCACGUUAGCGACGGACGGGUGAGUAACACGUGGAUAACCUACCUAUAAGACUGGGAUAACUUCGGGAAACCGGAGCAAAUACCGGGUAAUAUAUUGAGCCGCAUGGUUCAAUAGUGAAAGACGGGUUUGCUGUCACCUAUCGACGGAUCCGCGCCUCAUUAGCUAGUUGGUAAGGUAACGGCUUACCAAGGCAACGAUGCGUAGCCGACGUGAGAGGGUGGUCGGCCACAGUGGAAGUGCGACACGGUCGAGACUGCUACGGGAGGCAGAAGCAGGGAAUAGGCAGCAGUGGGCGAAAGUCUGCAGGAGCAGCGCGGCUGAUGUGACGAAGGUCUGUGGAGCGUGAAGCUCUUCUAUUAGGGAACACCAAAUGUGUAAGUAGCUAUGCACGUGUUGACGGUAGUUGUUCAGAAAGCCACGGCUAACUACGUG
rnacentral:rRNA from 1 species